AAAACUUUCAACAACGGAUCUCUUGGUUCUCGCAUCGAUGAAGAGCGCAGCGAAAUGCGAUACCUAGUGUGAAUUGCAGCCAUCGUGAAUCAUCGAGUUCUUGAACGCACAUUGCGCCCUCCGGUAUUCCGGGGGGCAUGCCUGUUUGAGCGUCGUUU
rnacentral:rRNA from 1 species